rnacentral:tRNA from 1 species
GCCGCCGUAGCUCAGCCUGGUAGAAAAGAACCAAUUCAAGCGCCAAUAGCAGCGGACUGUUAAUCCGUUGGUCGAAGGUCCAAGUCCUUCCGGCGGCGCCA